UUUAAUUUUUCAGUUUCUUAAGAAGUGCUUCAAAAAUACCCAUGUAAAUACAUUUUCUGAAGGAGGAGAGCCACAGGAAACCAGGAAUAAAUGCCUCAUUCAUUCUAUAGAAAACUUGCUGACUUUUGCAGAAAACUUUACAUUCAUGAGCCGAUAAUGACCCUUUCCAGUCACCUGCAAAGUCCUCUAAUGUAAUCACAAACUCAUCAAGGUACAAGUUAAAUCAUGUAAUAGACAUUGCCCCAGAUACUACACGUCUGUUGGAUCACCAGGGGAGAACUCCAAACAUUAACAGGCUAAGAAAUGUCCCCCAAAGAUG